AGUGGUGACAAGCAUUGAUGGUGACAAAUCCUGCUGGGACAAUGGAGCUUUCAUUGAAAAAUGGUGUCAAGAAUGGUCCUGCUGGAGCUGUAAAAGAUGUGACAGAAGAAUCAAUAGCAGAUGAUGACAAGAG